GAAAUUUGGCACGGUUUUGAAAAGUCCAUGGAAAGAAAAAAACCUUGUCCUAGCUUCCUCUUCCAACUCCAAAGACAGACUUGCUUCCUUUCAACGGUUUUCACAGAUGCAGUGACCCACGCUCCGAAGUCAGAAUUAGCUGACUUUCACAAACAUCUGGAAAAAUGAAGACAUGGUUAAAAAUCUUAUUUGGAAUUGCCACCUCUGCUGUGCUUGCUUUAUUGGUGAUGUGCAUUGCCUUACGUCCUUUGAGAGUUAGAAGGCUGCAGGAUGACCAAAAUGUUCCAAGUACAACUGAUCAUAACUCUGAAGGAAAUAAUACAACAAGAGCACUUACACUGAAAGAUAUUUUAAAUGGGACAUUUUCUUAUUGGACAUAUUUUCCAACUUGGAUUUCAGGACAAGAGUACCUCCAUCAAUCUACAGAUAAUAACAUAGUAUUUUAUAAUAUUGAAACAGGAGAAUCAUAUACCAUUUUGAGUAAUACCACCAUGAAAAGUGUGAAUGCUUCAAAUUAUGGCUUAUCACCUGAUCGGCAAUUUGCAUACCUAGAAAGUGAUUAUUCAAAGCUUUGGAGAUAUUCUUACACAGCAACAUAUCACAUCUAUGACCUUAGGAAUGGAGAUUUUGUAAGAAGAAAUGAGCUUCCCCGUCCAAUUCAGUAUAUUUGCUGGUCACCUAUUGGGAGUAAAUUAGCAUAUGUGUAUCAGAACAAUAUCUAUUUGAAACAAAGACCAGAAAACCCACCUUUCCAAAUAACAUAUAAUGGGAAAGAAAAUAAAAUAUUUAAUGGAAUCCCAGACUGGGUUUAUGAAGAGGAAAUGCUUGCUACAAAAUAUGCUCUCUGGUGGUCUCCGAAUGGAAAAUUUUUGGCAUAUGCAGAGUUUAAUGAUACAGAAAUCCCAGUGAUUGCCUAUUCCUAUUAUGGUGAUGAGCAAUAUCCUAGGACAAUAAAUAUUCCAUACCCAAAGGCUGGAGCUAAGAAUCCUGUUGUUCGGAUAUUUAUUGUCGAUACCACUUACCCUGAGUAUGUAGGUCCCAUAGAAGUGCCAGUUCCAGCAAUGAUAGCCUCAAGUGAUUAUUAUUUCAGUUGGCUCACGUGGGUUACUGAUGAACGAAUAUGCGUGCAGUGGCUAAAAAGAAUUCAGAAUGUUUCGGUCUUGUCUAUAUGUGAUUUCAAUGAAGGCUGGCAGACAUGGAAUUGUCCAAAGACCCAGGAGCAUAUAGAAGAAAGCAGAACAGGAUGGGCUGGUGGAUUCUUUGUUUCAACACCAGUGUUCAGCUAUGAUUCCACUUCAUACUACAAAAUAUUUAGCGACAAGGAUGGCUACAAACAUAUUCACUAUAUCAAAGACACCGUGGAAAACGCUACUCAAAUUACAAGUGGCAAGUGGGAGGCCAUAAAUAUAUUCAGAAUAACACAGGAUUCACUGUUUUAUUCUAGCAAUGAAUUUGAAGGUGUCCCUGGAAGAAGAAAUAUCUACAGAAUUAGCAUUGGAAGCUAUCCUCCAAGCAAGAAGUGUAUUACCUGCCAUCUAAGGCAAGAAAGGUGCCAAUAUUACACAGCAAGUUUCAGUGACUACUCCAAGUACUAUGCACUCAUCUGCUAUGGCCCAGGUCUCCCCAUCUCCACCCUUCAUGAUGGCCGCACCGAUCAAGAAAUUAAAAUCCUGGAAGAAAACAAGGAAUUGGAAAAUGCUUUGAAAAAUAUCCAGCUGCCUAAAGAGGAAAUAAAGAAACUUGAAGUGGAUGAAAUUACUUUAUGGUACAAGAUGAUUUUUCCUCCUCAAUUUGACAGAUCAAAGAAGUAUCCCUUGCUAAUUCAAGUGUAUGGUGGUCCCUGCAGUCAGAGUGUAAGGUCUGUAUUUGCUAUUAGUUGGAUAUCUUAUCUUGCAAGUAAGGAAGGAAUAGUCAUUGCCUUGGUGGAUGGUAGAGGAACAGCUUUCCAAGGUGACAAACACCUGCAUGCAGUGUAUCGAAAGCUGGGUGUGUAUGAAGUUGAGGACCAGAUCACAGCUGUCAGUCCUACGGUGGUUAUGUUUCAUCACUGGCCCUUGCAUCCGGAACUGGUCUUUUCAAAUGUGGGAUAGCGGUAGCUCCAGUCUCCAGCUGGGAAUAUUAUGCAUCUAUCUACACAGAGCGAUUCAUGGGUCUCCCGACAAAGGAUGAUAAUCUGGAGCACUAUAAAAAUUCGACUGUGAUGGCAAGAGCAGAAUAUUUCAGAAAUGUAGACUAUCUUCUCAUCCACGGAACAGCAGAUGAUAAUGUGCACUUUCAAAACUCAGCACAGAUUGCUAAAGCUCUGGUUAAUGCACAAGUGGAUUUCCAGGCAAUGUGGUACUCCGACCAGAACCAUGGCAUAUCCGGCCUAUCCAUAAAGCACUUGUACACCCACAUGACCCACUUCCUGAAGCAAUGCUUUUCUUUGUCAGACUGAACACGGUGCCGAUCCAAGCCCGUAUCACCAUCUGAACACAUCAGACAAAUGCCUCAGACUGUUUGCUUGUGUUACUCUUUAUGCUGUUAAGUGUUGGUAUAAACAAACAAGUGAAUGUUGUUCGAAUGGCUGGCGAAAAAUUGGGUGGACUCGGGGGUUCAAUGGAAAUAUUGUUUACAUUUCUCUGUUACUCUGUGGAAGAAGAGAAAAGGGAGCCGGGCCUUUUGCUUCAGACACAGUAUUGUAUCACCUGCUUGAGGGGAAAAUAAAGUCAGAAGUUCCCAUGCUA